CUUCCCCUGUUCUUUACAAUCUGGCCGCGGUUUCUGCGCCACCAGCGACCUCUUCGGGGCCCCGCUGACUUCCCUCUCGUAAACAGUCACCGGCAGGAAGAAGCACGACUGACUUUACGUUUUUUGAAGUUCAGAAACUUGAUUCUCCUUAUAUAUCCCGUGCAAGCUGCUUACACAAGGCCGGCAAAAGGUACUAGGAUACAGGCUCAAGACUGCUGAGAUGGGAAAAGAGUAAGCGGUGCGAGUUAUGUUCAAACACGCCCCAGAGGGCCAGGCUCAGCGCCCAGACUCCCGGGAAGGGGAGCAGAAGAGGACGCUCUCUUCUUGCUUUUCCUGGUCCUACAACUACUUCACCUCUCAGUGACCAGAGAGGCAAGUGGGGGGUGCAUAGUGGACUCUAGGAGGUCAUUGCCCUGGUAGACAUGAAGGGGAAAGAGCCCAGUCCUCCUAUACGCCGAUUUCAUUGCUGCCUCUCUUCCCUCCAUGGGGACGCUUCUGGACCUGAAAGAACCUCCCGAGGCAGAAAAGGCUCUAUCGUAGGCACAGAUCCUCUGAUGGGGUGGUUGACCCACGGAAGGGCUGCUCUCAUCAGCCACACUUUAUGUAAGAAUACUAUAUCACUAUUUAUAGAAGCUGUAGCACUUGAGGCCUGUGUGACUCACCCGAGGUCCCAAAGCUAGUAGUGGGAGUUGGGUUGGGAGUUGCACUCAAAUCUAUUUGACCCUCAGACCCACUAUACUAACCACUGCACAGCAGUACUUCCCAGCCAGAGCCCUUUUCCUCCACUUCCCAUAGGAGGAUGAGAUUUAAUUCAUUUAGUUCAGGCCACGUUGAGAAAUGGAAACCUCAGUUUCUGGUGCCUAUCAUCUCUGGCUCCCUACUCAUUUGUAUAUUCCAGUAAUGAACAAUUGGAUUUAAGGAGGAACCAGGAGCCACGAACCUCUGUGAUUCUAAGACUAGGCUCCUGAAAACCUUCAACAAAUUGGGCAUCUGAAGAAUUUUAUAUGGAAAAUUACAAAAUAUUAUCCUAGACUGAGAACUUACUCUUUAAGAAUAUGUCUUAACCGCGUUCACAUAUGAAUAUCUCUGGUUCAUGAUUUGAAACAUAUAUCAUGAGCUAGAGAGAUGUGUAGAUGAGGUGAGAGGUGCUGCACACACAGAGAGACACAUGUACACACACACACACACACACACACAAUAUUCUGCCCAGUUUUACAUUGUCCUAGCCCACUUUCUAAGGGAUGAGAAGGCUGUUUUGGGGCCCCAAGACAAGAGAAAAUCUUUUGUUCUGUCUCUGAAAACCCUGAAUAGAGUGUUAAUCAUUUGUUUCACAUUUAUCUCUAGAAUCAGGGUUUUAUAUGGAUUACUAUGCACAUUUUAGAAAUGUGACUUCCCCUAAGAGAAUUGAGUAGAUCAGUCAUUGCUCGUUAAUGUGAAUUACUUUAAUCAGUGCAAUGAGUAGCCCAGAACAGACUCCCGAUUAAUAACGUUUGAGCUUAAGAAGAGGGACUAGGAGACGGAAGGAGCAAAGCAGUGUUCAUAAUGUUUCAGGGACCACCUUCCACAACUGGACCUGUAUCUGAGGCCUGGCCCUGUAAUCUGAACACUCGCUGGAUAUAAAAUAGUGUGCAAGACCCUCUGUGUUCACAAGUCCCACCCCCAGGAAGUCCAGAGAGUUUUCUCACAGCGUGCUGUGGGAAAUAUCCCAAUUUUUUCUCCUAAGGAAAGGAAUCUGAGGAACAGGGAGAUGGAGCAGGAAGAAAGGAAACAAACAUCUGAGAAAAAUAAGUAAAUAUGAGAAUAAAUGUUAUUUUAAAAAACAAUGAAAAAGUUGUGAGGAAAGUACAAGGGGGCAAAGUCCAGCUUAGAAGAAACAAGCUACGACAUGAACUAUUUUAGGGAGAAUAAACAGGUCAAUCUUUAAAAGAUUGCGUUAAUAGACUCGCCGCCUAAAAUAACUCACAGAAGAAAAAGAAAAGAUAUCAAGAUACAAAGAAGUUUCACAUGGAAAAAAAUGCUUUGUAUUUUCACCCAACAAAAACUUAGUUGUUUGGGUAAAACUUUGUUCUUUGAAGUCCCAUAAAUAUCCCUUCAGGAAAAAAAAUUAAAUUUGAAGUACUUAGACUAAUGAAUGGUAUCUUUAUUCAAAGCAGAUAACAAAUCUAAUUAGAGGAAGUUAUGAACGAAUUUUAUUAGUAGUCUUAUAAUGGAAUAUACUUUAUUCAGCACCUUGACCUCCAUUCAAUAUCUUUAGCUUCUCAAUUUUUUCUCUCUCCAGUGACUCAUUUGACCUUUGUCCUCAAUGAUGACUAAUUGCAUCUCCUCCAAAAUCUCCUUUUCCCCCUUCACAACCUUCUAUCCUUCUCUGUUUGGCUUCUCUGGAACCCACCCUGUUUUUCGGUCUUUUCAAGAACUGUCAACUGUGUGUUCAUCCAUCUCAUGUGUUUACUUCUUUCUUUAUCCAGUUUUGAUUACUGAUCCAUCAUUCUGAUCCUUCUUGCAAACACCCCUUCAUUCUCCCUGUUUCUCUCAUCUUAUGUCCUACAGUGCUUGUCUGGUGAAACCCAGGCUCAGUUAAACCCAAUCAUGCAACUGGACUGGAUUGCAGAAAAACACACAGCGCUGAAUGGAUUAUAAAGCCCAUACUGCUGGGUUCACAGGGCUCUGCUGUGGUUCAGGAGUGUGCUUACCUGCCUGGGAAACUACAUCACCAGCUAGCUGCUUUUCUCUAUGGUACUUGCUGUGAAGUGGUCCAAGACGUUAUGUCACCCAGAGAAAUUGGACUGCGGAAUGAUGGGCGCUGUGUAAGGUUGGCUUGUUGGCAGUGAAAGUGGCAGCAGGAAGAUGAGUCAUCCAGUAAAAUGGUGAGGCUGGCUGGGCUCAGGCUGGUAAUGGGGAAGACAGAAAAAAGUUAACAAACUCAGGAUAUGUUUCUUUGGAGGUUUAGGGUAUAAACUUGUCAAUGAACUGGAUGAGGGGAAGUGAGAGAAGAACUAAGCUAAGAAUGAUACCUAAGGUUUUUGUCUGAGCACCUGGAAUGAUGCUGAAACUAUUUCUCUGUUUCUUGAAAUGCAGAAAACUGAAGCAGGAGCAGGCUUGGGAGAGGGGCAUGGGUAGCCCAAGCAACCAAGAGUUAUGAUCAGCUAUGUUAAUUAUGCGACUGGAUAUAUGAAUUUGGAGCUCCAGGGAAAGAUCAUGGCUAAAGACAUAAAUUCAGAAAUUAUUUCUAUCAAUGUGGUAUAUAAAAUCACAUAAUUAAAUAAAAUUACCUAGAGAAGCAUGUAGAUGGAAGGAAUAAAAGAUGGCACAGGACGAAGCCUUCAGGAAGUCCAACAUGCAGAGUUCAAACAGAAUAAGUUCACCCAGCAAAAGAGAUUGAGUGAGUAGUCAGAGGGGCCAGAGGAAAACCAGGAGAGUGUGGUGGUGUCACUGAAGCCAAAAGAACAAAAGUAUUCUAUGAAGGAGAGAAUGAUCCUCUGUAACAAAUGCUCGUAAGAUGUGGCAGAUACUCCUGCUUGUUCUCUGUACCCAUUUUCUCCAUUUUUCUUUUAGUAAUAGAAACCACUGAGCUCUAGCUGGACACAAAGCCACUUACAUGGAGACCACAUUCCCCAGUCUCUUUUGCAGCUAGAUGUGGCCAUGAGGCUGAACUUGAGUCAGCGGAGUGUGAGAAAAAGAAGCUUAUGCAAUGUGCUAUACUUGGCCUUACAGUAUUGGGUGUGCAUGCCCCCUUUCUCUUUUCCUGGUUUUCCAUUGGCUGGAAUGUGGACAUGGAAGGGGCUCAGCUUCCGUCAUGCACAUGAGGACAGUACUCCAAGGAAUAUCAGAGAAACUGGUGAAAGGAACCUAGGAACCUGAAUGCUCUUAAGAAGCGAGCCAUCUGUCUGCUGUGGAUUGCCUACUGCCAUUUGGACUCCCUUGUGAAAAAAAUAAAUUCUCUCUACAAUCACUGUAUUUUGGGGUCUCUAUUUUAACCUCAUAGCCCACACCAUAAAUAAUUCACAUAACAAGAAA